GCAAUGCUAAAAAACAAAGGCAAAUCUUAUCUCCCAGAUUGAAUCAUAAGAUACCUUUGACAUCCUUUCUGGAUUGGCAGUUUUUCACAAAAAUUAGUUUUUAACUAUUUAGAUGGCUCUUUUACCAUGUUCUUUAUCAUUCUUAAAGAUUCAUUUCUUGGUUUCUCUUAUCAACUUAAGUUUGCUCAAUUAUGAAGUUUAUCUUCUCUUAACUUGUAGCUUUUACAUCCUGACAAGGUUAUGGUUGUGUGAGCUAGAAAUUAAUUUUCUGCUCAUUUUCCUUGGGGCAGUGUUCUGUAUCCAGUUAUAAAUAACAUUUGUGGACUUCUGUCCUCUCUGAAGUUCUGAAUUGCUAUACUAGAUGUCAUAUGGAGGAUAACCUUCAAAAUACAUUCCUGAUUGCACAACAACCUUGAGUAAUUUUGAGAUGACCUAUAGUGAUACCAUUGAAAAUAACCGGGUUGCUGUUGUACUCUAUAAUUUUGAGUGCAUGAUCAAGUGAUUUUUACAAUGAAUUUAUGCUAUAGAUAUUAUUUGGUAGGAAUAUUAAGCAAAUCAACAAAGUUGUAGAUGAUUGCCUUUUACUUUAUUUAAGUUUUAUUUCUUCUGAAUAUAUCCAUGUAAAAUGAAUGGGAUUUAUUUCCCAGAAAGUAUUUUAUUUGGAUUUUAAAACAAUUAGUAUGUGAAAAAUAGCUUUUGAAGAAUAUUAAGAAGUUGUAUAGUUUUGAUUCUCAAGAAUUACUCUGAACAAGGGACAUAAUAAACUGGUUGUUGCUGUCAUUACAUUUUGCCACCAUUUGUUUCUAGGGACGGUAAGAAGAGAGAUUUUAUAUAGUGCAGUUCCUUUAGUGCCAGCCACUUUUGUUGUCAAGUGGCACUAAGCCUAAAAACACGUUACAGUUCUAACACAUGCCAUUUCUCUUUUAGGUUUUGGCUUGGUUUGAAGAAGGUGAAGAAACAAUUACAGCCUUUGUAGAACCCUUUGUAAUUUUACUUAUAUUAGUAGCCAAUGCAAUUGUGGGUGUAUGGCAGGAAAGAAAUGCUGAGAAUGCAAUCGAAGCCCUUAAGGAAUAUGAGCCUGAAAUGGGCAAAGUAUAUCGACAGGACAGAAAGAGUGUCCAGCGGAUUAAAGCUAAAGACAUAGUUCCUGGUGAUAUUGUAGAAAUUGCUGUUGGUGACAAAGUUCCUGCUGAUAUAAGAUUAACUUCCAUCAAAUCUACUACUCUAAGAGUUGACCAGUCCAUUCUCACAGGUGAGCAUUAUACAUUGGAAGGUC